rnacentral:rRNA from 1 species
AUUGAACGCUGGCGCCAGGCUUAACAUAUGCAAGUUGAACGAGUGGCGGACGAGUGAGUAAUGCUUGGGAAUCUGGCUUAUGGAUGGGGAUAACGACGGUAAACUGUCGCUAAUACCGCGUACCAUAGGACGAGCCUAAGUGGGAUUUGGUAGUUGGUGUGGUAACGGCCUACCAAGCCGACGAUCUCUAGCUGGUCUGAGAGGAUGAGCAGCCACAACGGGAGGGGAACACGGCCCGGACGCCUACGGGAGGCAGCAGUGGGGAAUAUUGGACGAUGGGGGCAACCUGACGCAGCCAUGCCGCGGGAAUGAAGUAGGCCUGGGGGUUGUAAAGUUCUUUCGGUGGCGAGGCGUUGAUCACAGGAGAAGCACCGGCUAAGUCCGUGCCAGCGGCCGCGGUAAUUC